rnacentral:rRNA from 1 species
GACGAACGCUGGCGGCGUGCUUAACACAUGCAAGUCGAACGGAAAGGCCCUGCUUUUGUGGGGUGCUCGAGUGGCGAACGGGUGAGUAACACGCGAGUAACCUGCCCUUGACUUUGGGAUAACUUUAGGAAAAUGGGGCUAAUACCGGAUAGGAGCUCCUGCUGCAUGGUGGGGGUUGGAAAGUUUCGGCGGUUGGGGAUGGUUUCGCGGCUUAUCGGCCUGCUGGUUGGGUAGUGGCUGACCAAGGCUUUGACGGGUAGCCUGCCUGAGAGGGUGACCGGGCACAAUGGGACUGAGAGAGGGAGCAGAAGGCAACGGGACGCAGCGGUGGAAAGUCUUGCGCAGUGAGGCGAAGCGUGAUACAGAGGCGUCGCGUGCGGGAUACUGGGCUUUGAGUUAUGAACAAAUUUCGACUGUAACGUGGAGUGCGUGACGGUACUGAGUAAGAAAGCCCCGGCUAACUACGUG